CACCUCCUUAGAGUUUGAUCCUGGCUCAGGCAAUGUGGAUAGAUCACCUCCUUAGAGUUUGAUCAUGGCUCAGAACGAACGCUGGCGGCAGGCUUAACACAUGCAAGUCGAACGCACCGCAAGGUGAGUGGCAGACGGGUGAGUAACGCGUGGGAACGUACCUUUUGCUUCGGAAUAGCCUCGGGAAACUGGGAGUAAUACCGAAUGUGCCCUACGGGGGAAAGAUUUAUCGGCAAAAGAUCGGCCCGCGUUGGAUUAGGUAGUUGGUGGGGUAAUGGCCUACCAAGCCGACGAUCCAUAGCUGGUUUGAGAGGAUGAUCAGCCACACUGGGACUGAGACACGGCCCAGACUCCUACGGGAGGCAGCAGUGGGGAAUCUUAGACAAUGGGCGCAAGCCUGAUCUAGCCAUGCCGCGUGAUCGAUGAAGGCCUUAGGGUUGUAAAGAUCUUUCGUGGGGGAAGAUAAUGACGGUACCCCAAGAAGAAGCCCCGGCUAACUCCGUGCCAGCAGCCGCGGUAAUACGGAGGGGGCUAGCGUUAUUCGGAAUUACUGGGCGUAAAGCGCACGUAGGCGGAUUGGAAAGUCAGAGGUGAAAUCCCAGGGCUCAACCUUGGAACUGCCUUUGAAACUCCCAGUCUUGAGGUCGAGAGAGGUGAGUGGAAUUCCGAGUGUAGAGGUGAAAUUCGUAGAUAUUCGGAGGAACACCAGUGGCGAAGGCGGCUGCUG
rnacentral:sRNA from 1 species